CUGGUGACGUGCUUUUUCGCGUAUGCUUACAGGGCUUUCGAAAAGGCCAAGGGACCCGUGGACGCAUUCGGAACUGUAAAGAAGCAGUGGGAAGGCUUUGAGAUGGAUGUCCUGAAGGUCAGGAAAUACCAAAUUCUGCGCAGCUGUCCCCACGACACAAAAAAGAACGAGGUGAGGGUAUACCAGUCACGAAAGAUACUCUUAAAUACAACAAGUACCGACGUCCCGUCCAGUAUCUCGAACAACCGAUCCGCUUUUCUGGCAUACUCUCCUGCUGGCGACGUAAAUGGUUCCGCUGUCUACGUCAACUAUGCGGAGAAAUCUGACUUCAAACUUUUGAGCAUUUACAACAUUACCGUUGCUGGACGCAUAUGUUUGAUCCGAGUCGGGAAGAUCACCAAGGGUGAGCAG